rnacentral:rRNA from 1 species
GAUGAACGCUGGCGGCGUGCUUAACACAUGCCAGUCGAACGAAGCAUUUAAGACAGAUUACUUCGGUUUGAAGUCUUUUAUGACUGAGUGGCGGACGGGUGAGUAACGCGUGGGUAACCUGCCUCAUACAGGGGGAUAGCAGCUGGAAACGGCUGGUAAUACCGCAUAAGCGCACAGUACCACAUGGUACAGUGUGAAAAACUCCGGUGGUAUGAGAUGGACCCGCGUCUGAUUAGCUUGUUGGCGGGGUAACGGCCCACCAAGGCGACGAUCAGUAGCCGACCUGAGAGGGUGACCGGCCACAUUGGGACUGAGACACGGCCCAGACUCCUACGGGAGGCAGCAGUGGGGAAUAUUGCACAAUGGAGGAAACUCUGAUGCAGCGACGCCGCGUGAGUGAAGAAGUAGUUCGCUAUGUAAAGCUCUAUCAGCAGGGAAGAUAGUGACGGUACCUGACUAAGAAGCGCCGGCUAAAUACGUG